rnacentral:misc_RNA from 1 species
UCAAAGCAUCAAGCUUGGCUUGUCGUUGGGCCCUUUAUCACCAGGUGAUAGGUCCAAAAGAUAAUGAGCGGUGUCGUAAAGACUCUAUAUGCAACGAGCUGAUAACAGCACGCAUCUAGUGGUCGUACGGCCCGGUCGUCACCUCUUUAUUUUUCAA